rnacentral:rRNA from 1 species
AUUGAACGCUGGCGGAAUGCUUUACACAUGCAAGUCGAACGGCAGCACGGACUUCGGUCUGGUGGCGAGUGGCGAACGGGUGAGUAAUGUAUCGGAACGUGCCCAGUCGUGGGGGAUAACGUAGUGAAAAUUACGCUAAUACCGCAAACGAUCUAUGGAUGAAAGCGGGGGAUCGCAAGACCUCGCGCGAUUGGAGCGGCCGAUAUCAGAUAGGUAGUUGGUGGGGUAAAGGCCCACCAAGCCAACGAUCUGUAGCUGGUCUGAGAGGACGACCAGCCACACUGGAACUGAGACACGGUCCAGACUCCUACGGGGGGCAGCAGUGGGGAAUUUUGGACAAUGGGCGAAAGCCUGAUCCAGCCAUUCCGCGUGCAGGAUGAAGGCCCUCGGGUUGUAAACUGCUUUUGUACAGAACGAAAAGGUUUCUACUAAUACUAGGAGCUCAUGACGGUACUGUAAGAAUAAGCACCGGCUAACUACGUGCCAGCAGCCGCGGUAA